CCGGUGAGAACUAGCAUAUCAAUAAGCGGAGGAAAAGAAACCAACCGGGAUUGCCUCAGUAACGGCGAGUGAAGCGGCAAGAGCUCAAAUUUGAAAGCUGGCUCCUUCGGAGUCCGCAUUGUAAUUUGCAGAGGAUGCUUUGGGUGCGGCCCCCGUCUAAGUGCCCUGGAACGGGCCGUCAGAGAGGGUGAGAAUCCCGUCUUGGGCGGGGUGUCCGUGCCCGUGUAAAGCUCCUUCGACGAGUCGAGUUGUUUGGGAAUGCAGCUCUAAAUGGGUGGUAAAUUUCAUCUAAAGCUAAAUACUGGCCGGAGACCGAUAGCGCACAAGUAGAGUGAUCGAAAGAUGAAAAGCACUUUGAAAAGAGAGUUAAACAGCACGUGAAAUUGUUGAAAGGGAAGCGCUUGCGACCAGACUCGCCCGCGGGGUUCAGCCGGCAUUCGUGCCGGUGUACUUCCCCGUGGGCGGGCCAGCGUCGGUUUGGGCGGCCGGUCAAAGGCCCCUGGAAUGUAGUACCCUCCGGGGUACCUUAUAGCCAGGGGUGCAAUGCGGCCAGCCUGGACCGAGGAACGCGCUUCGGCACGGACGCUGGCAUAAUGGUCGUAAACGACCCGUCUUGAAACACGGACCAAGGAGUCUAACAUCUACGCGAGUGUUCGGGUGUCAAACCCGUGCGCGCAGUGAAAGCGAACGGAGGUGGGAGCCCCCUCGCGGGGCGCACCAUCGACCGAUCCUGAUGUCUUCGGAUGGAUUUGAGUAAGAGCGUAAAUGUGGGGACCCGAAAGAUGGUGAACUAUGCCUGAAUAGGGCGAAGCCAGAGGAAACUCUGGUGGAGGCUCGCAGCGGUUCUGACGUGCAAAUCGAUCGUCAAAAUGUGGGUAUAGGGGCAGAAAAAG
rnacentral:rRNA from 1 species